CCUUGUGUGUCAUAAAUAAACACAAUUGUGCCAUCAAAGCAAGCUGCAAUCUGGCCAAAGGCUGUCAAAGCCAGAAGUAAAGCUCAUAAUUAUAAGGCACAUAAAAUGAUUCACCUUCAUCUGGUUAGGAGUUCCAGAAGCUUAUUUAUAGAGCACUCAAACUAAUAGGGCUGUUAAAUUCUCAUUAGUCACUGACACAGCAUUCCUUCCUUUCAAUUUCCAAAGCGAUUAAGAUGCAAGUUCCUUUCUUGUCGUGUUUUCAGGUGUUUUAGCUUGUGGGGCUGCUUGGGGAGAAGAGUCAGAACUGCAAUCAAGGUGUUUCAACCCAAACACACUUCCUGUUCAGUGAUGGCUCUUCUUGUUCCCUUCACUUCUAUCUCAGCCCACCUGUCUUCACCGUCUGUAAUGACUGUCCUCAAAACAAAAUGUUUCAUUUUCCCAUAAAAUGUAAACGAGCCGCUCAGUCCUGGAUUGACCAUCUGGGUGUAGAUGCUGUUUCCUCUCUCAGCGCGUAGGUCUGAAUGUUUGUUUUUCUGGUGAACUACGUAUCCGACACCAGUAACCUCGAGUUAAGGACGGGCCAAACCAGUUGUUUCUGUGCAGUAGCAGGAGGCCUCAGGUGUGCAGCUUCCUGCACCUCAAAAACCCAGGUUCUUCAGAUGCAUGCUUGAAAACUAACGGCGAGAAGACAGGUCUGCAAAUCACUCACAAGUGUAAGCAUCGUCUCAGCCGCUAAAUUUCAAAGGGACACGAUGUAAACUCUGAAGAAAAGUACAAGUUGUUCAUAGCAACUUCCGUUUGAGCAAUCAGCAGGAAACAAAUCACAGCAACAGCAGCCUGCAAUGGAUUGAUGAAGCUAUCGCACGUGAGCCUCUGAAUAAUAAUUUCCUGCGAGUUUCAACACGUACAAAUUUCAGAGCAGGCUCAAUCUGACAGACAAGAAAAUCGAGAAGCGGGUUGCGCAAACCCAAAGUUUAUCGUGAGACUUGAAAU